GCUCCCAUGGCGUAAGGGGUUCACUGCGCUCGCCUUGCACGCGGGAGACCCGGGUUCGAUUCCCGGCGGGGUCA
rnacentral:tRNA from 1 species